GGUGCUUGAAAAUGCUUAUCUCAAUUAUCUGGAGUUUAAUCUAGGAAAGUUUUUUAAAAAUAUACUAUUUGUAUUGUGUUAUUAGGGACAAUCAGUUAUUAGAGCAAAGUACUGAGCUCCAACAGAGGGCCUUUCUCUUUGUUCCUUACAGAGUUGCAUCCUGAAUCUUUGUUUUCCCAGAUCACUGUUCUGAAUGCCUCACUAGAUGGAGAACUGUGGCCCACAAGAGAGUCCCCUGUAAUCUCCCUGCCCAGUGAGUUACUGGGUUAUUCUAAAGCAGCUUUUUAAAGGGACUGGUCACUCUUUAACUCAGCAUUUGCUUUUUGAGAAUACAAUAGAAAGUGGUUGAAUAUAUUGGUGGCAAGGAAAUGUGAAGUAGAAAGAAAAGAGAUGUGACAGAUGUCCUUCAGGGGGCAAGUUGAUACCCUAUGUUAUCUCCAUUUAAACAGCAAGAAAAGGCAGUGGCUGUUGUCUUAUGCUGUAUUGGCUUGGUGGACUUAGACAAACCACUGCCAAGUAGCCUCACCUGAGGGAAUGGUAGAGACAAAGCCCUGGGCUCUAAAUAUAUCUUUUAUAUGCCCAGAAAGGAAAAUGUAAUGAGAUUAUGGUUUCAAAAAAAAAAACAAAAACAAAAACAAAAAACACUUGACACUAUACAUCAGCCAUGGUAGAAGCAGAUUGAAGAUCGUGGUAUGUGACCUGGGAUGACUUUACCAAGGCCAACCAUUCCAUCAAGGCCUCCCUGAUUCACAAAACUGCUUAACCGAAGACACAAACAGAAGGUGCCUGGCUGAGGAGGAAGUUCUCAAGGAGUUCUCAUUUUUUUCUCUCAUCCUCUCAGAUGCUCUUGAGUUAUUGGGGCUGUAGAAAAUUCCAGAGUCUGCUAUGGAGUUCGCCAUGGAGUGAACUCUGGGACCCUCUUUGCUGUGGAAAACCCCUAGUUCAAUUUUUGUGUUGUGACUUGAGUCCCUGGAAAAACUUAGUUCAAUACUGUUAUGGUUAUGUCCUUGCUGCUACCAUUAUCAUAUUUAUGUGUCUCACCACUUGUAUGUGUGGCCUCACUUGAUGGUUAGAGGUAUGAAAAUUGCCAUCAGCCUGGGGAAGUUGGCUACAAACUCCCAACAGAAGACGUAUGUAACCACUGCCAUGUUCCCGAUUCCAUUCGUAACCCCCAUUCUUGGGCUUUCUGGCCUUGUAUAACAUACUGCAAUCAAAUGGUGAGAUUAGUGCUGUUCUGAGGCUGUUGAUUCUAGUUCCUGACAUGUUUCAUUUGUAAUAAUGGAGACUAUUUAUUUGGGGGAGCUUUUCUUUGAAAGGGCCAAAUUGCCUACAGAUAAAUGAGCUGCCAGGCUGUGGAGAAAUUCUUGUCCAAAUGUUGCCAAAUGCUGACUUCAUAGGGGAUAUCAAGCUGCUGUUUAUUAAUCUGAAUGUCUUAAAAGCCUUCCUGCUUGCUCUCUCUGUUAUAGACGGUGUCUUAGCCAGUCCUGAGUUUUUCCAAUGAAUCCAAUUUUAAUACAUGGUAUUUUUGUAUGCCAAACUGGUGUCUUGUCCUUUGUAUAUGUGGUAAUGUUCAUUUUACGACUACUGUUUAAACACAUUUGCUAUGAUUAAAAUUCAAAAUGAUUUCAAGUAG
rnacentral:lncRNA from 1 species